GCAGUCGCCACGGUAAUACAGAGGGUGCAAGCGUUAAUCGGAAUUACUGGGCGUAAAGCGCGCGUAGGUGGUUUGUUAAGUUGGAUGUGAAAGCCCCGGGCUCAACCUGGGAACUGCAUCCAAAACUGGCAAGCUAGAGUACGGUAGAGGGUGGUGGAAUUUCCUGUGUAGCGGUGAAAUGCGUAGAUAUAGGAAGGAACACCAGUGGCGAAGGCGACCACCUGGACUGAUACUGACACUGAGGUGCGAAAGCGUGGGGAGCAAACAGGAUUAGAUACCCCGGUAGUCCCUGUCUCUUAUAC
rnacentral:rRNA from 1 species